rnacentral:rRNA from 1 species
GACGUAGGGCGCAAGCGUUGUCCGGAAUUAUUGGGCGUAAAGAGCUCGUAGGCGGUCUGUUGCGUCCGCUGUGAAAACUCGGGGCUUAACCCCGAGCCUGCAGUGGAUACGGGCAGACUAGAGGUAGGUAGGGGAGAAUGGAAUUCCCGGUGUAGCGGUGAAAUGCGCAGAUAUCGGGAGGAACACCGGUGGCGAAGGCGGUUCUCU